GAAGUUGACUGGAUAGUCGCUGCUUCGUUGACGUCCCCUUGAGCUUGUCUUGGGGGAGACUGACGGAGGGGAGGAACGUCCGGGCUCCACAGAGCAGGGUGCCAGGUAACGCCUGGGGGGCGUGAGCCCACGACAAGUGCAGCAGAGAGAAGACCGCCGAUGGCUCCAUUUCUUCGGAAGGAGCACAGGUAAGGGUGAAAGGGUGCGGUAAGAGCGCACCGGACGACUGGUAACAGUUCGUUGCAAGGUAAACUCCACCCGGAGCAAGACCAAAUAGGCUUCCACAUUGCGUUGCUCGCGUAUGGAGGCGGGUAGGUUGCUCGAGCCAGUGAGCGAUUGCUGGCCUAGACGAAUGGCUAUCACCGCUUCGGCGGAUACAGAACCCGGCGUACAGGUCAACUUCACCU
rnacentral:RNase_P_RNA from 13 species